AUUUUCUCGAACUUAGAAGAGCGAUUUGGUUAUUGAUUUUAUUGUUGAAUAAAUAUUUAUAAUAACUGGUUAGUAAUGAAAUGUUAUACGUUUCUAAAUAUAUCUAGUUUUCUCAGAAAUGGAUUUAAUUUAGCUUGGCUUGUAAAGUUAAUUUAUUUAAUAAUUGAUUUUAAUGGUGAGGUAAUAUAUUAGGGGAUGAGCUUUAGUGUAUAUUGUUAUAAGUAGGUAAAAGUUGGCAGAAUAGGUAGGAUUAGAAUUUUCCAUUCGUUAGAAGAAUGUUAUAAUUGGUUUUGUUAAAUAUUUUAUUUUUAUUGACUUUAAAUUUUUUAUGGGAAUGUAGUUUUUAAUUUUGAUUAAUUAGUAAAAAUGGUUAAAUUAGUAUAGUUAAAUUUAUAAAUAAGGUUAAUUUUAAGGUUAAUAAAAGGAAUUCGGCAAAUGAUUUUUCACCUGUUUAUUAAAAACAUGGCCUUUUGAUUAUGAUUUAAGGUCUAGCCUGCCCGCUGAGGGUUUAAAUGGCCGCGGUACUCU
rnacentral:rRNA from 1 species